rnacentral:rRNA from 1 species
GUCGAGAAUCUUUCACAAUGGGGGCAACCCUGAUGGAGCGACGCCGCGUGGAGGAUAAGGUCUUCGGAUUGUAAACUCCUGUCAUGCGUGAACAAGGUUGCUUGGUUAAUACCUGGGCAAAUUGAUGGUAACGCAAGAGGAAGAGACGGCUAACUCUGUGCCAGCAGCCGCGGUAAUACAGAGGUCUCAAGCGUUGUUCGGAAUCACUGGGCGUAAAGGGUGCGUAGGUGGCGUGGUAAGUCAGAUGUGAAAGCCCGAGGCUCAACCUCGGAACUGCAUCCGAGACUGCCAUGCUAGAGUACUGGAGAGGUGACUAGAAUUCUCGGUGUAGCAGUGAAAUGCGUAGAUAUCGAGAGGAAUACCAAAGGCGUAGGCAGGUCACUGGACAGUUACUGACACUGAGGCACGAAGGCCAGGGGAGCGAACGGGAUUAGAAACCCGGGUAGUCC